rnacentral:rRNA from 1 species
UGGGGAAUUUUGCGCAAUGGGCGAAAGCCUGACGCAGCAACGCCGCGUGGAGGAUGAAGGCCUUCGGGUCGUAAACUCCUGUCAGUAGGGACGAAUGCUUCGAAAGGAGCUUGACUGUACCUGCUGAGGAAGCCACGGCUAACUCCGUGCCAGCAGCCGCGGUAAUACGGAGGUGGCAAGCGUUGUUCGGAAUUAUUGGGCGUAAAGGGCGCGUAGGCGGCUUUGCAAGUCAGAUGUGAAAGCCCCGGGCUUAACUCGGGAAUUGCAUCUGAAACUGCAUUGCUUGAGUCCUGGAGGGGGUAGUGGAAUUCCCAGUGUAGCGGUGAAAUGCGUAGAUAUUGGGAGGAACACCGGCGGCGAAGGCGGCUACCUGGACAGUGACUGACGCUGAGGCGCGAAAGCUAGGGGAGCGAACGGG